rnacentral:ncRNA from 3 species
GUGAGUGAUGAAAUGGUAGUGGAGCUCAUUGAGAAGAAUUUGGAGACCCCCUUGUGCAAAAAUGGUUUUCUUCUGGAUGGCUUCCCUCGGACUGUGAGGCAGGCAGAAAUGGCUGAUUCACCCCAAGAGUGGCCGUUCCUACCACGAGGAGUUCAACCCUCCAAAAGAGCCCAUGAAAGAUGACGUAUGUAAACUCAGGACAAAAAAUUUCCUUUUCUUUCCU